rnacentral:sRNA from 1 species
GAUAAAAAUAAUUUUUUUGCAGGCAGUUUGGAUGGCAACCAUCAGGGGCCAGAUUAACACGAAAUGAGGAGGAUUCCGGAAGUUAACGCACAAAAGGAGGAUCAGGGCGCAGAUUUUCCGCCAGGAAGCGCUCGCCCCACACAAAAAGCGAGAGAUGGGUUUCUCGCUAUAUUAUACUC